GAUGAACGCUGGCGGCGUGCCUAAUACAUGCAAGUCGAGCGAACGGACGAGAAGCUUGCUUCUCUGAUGUUAGCGGCGGACGGGUGAGUAACACGUGGAUAACCUACCUAUAAGACUGGGAUAACUUCGGGAAACCGGAGCUAAUACCGGAUAAUAUUUUGAACCGCAUGGUUCAAAAGUGAAAGACGGUCUUGCUGUCACUUAUAGAUGGAUCCGCGCUGGAUUAGCUAGUUGGUAAGGUAACGGCUUACCAAGGCAACGAUGCAUAGCCGACCUGAGAGGGUGAUCGGCCACACUGGAACUGAGACACGGUCCAGACUCCUACGGGAGGCAGCAGUAGGGAAUAUUCCGCAAUGGGCGAAAGCCUGACGGAGCAACGCCGCGUGAGUGAUGAAGGUCUUCGGAUCGUAAAACUCUGUUAUUAGGGAAGAACAUAUGUGGAAGAAACUGUGCACAUCUUGACGGUACCUAAUCAGAAAGCCACGGCUAACUACGUG
rnacentral:rRNA from 1 species